UGGAAGCAGAGCAAGGGAACGGCCCCAGAAAGAAAGGUACCAGAGACCAGAUAGAGUUCUCCAAGUUGUACUUCCAUGACCCACUCAGACACACCCAGAAGUAUGCUUUACUUAUCUGCUAUAUGAUUCCCAAGCCAAUCAAACUGACAAUUAAGCCUGACCAUCACACCCAGGAAGGCAGCACCCAGCAUUGAAUCCAGGGAGAAUGAGAAUAGAAGUUGGGGAUGUUAAAAUCAGGAUGGAAGGGAGAGUAAAGAAUAGCAUGGGCAAAUGAUUCAGAACGAAGGUCAUGACUACCAAGAGAAUGAGAUAUUCAAUGUACUUUAAGGCUAGAGUGGAUUAAAGGAUUAUUUACUUUCUGGAGGAGGUGCUGGAGAGGACAGCUGCUGGGAAGGAAGAUGAUAUGAAAGAAAGAACAAGUUUUGGGAGUGACAGGAGUCUGAGGCUGAAUCCCAGUCCUACCAUGUUUGAUAAUUAAAGCACUUCAUCCCUGGGAUCUUCUGCUUCCUCAGUGAAAACAAGAAAACUCUCUGGCAAGAGCAGUGAUGAGACCCUGGCAGUGAAAGUCUGAGAAGAAACAAAUCCAGAGAUGAUGUUGUUACUGGAGAGUGGAGAACACAGCUCUACUGCCAGAGAACCACAGGUUUUGUUGUGCCUCAGAGCCAAAAGAGAAAAAUUCCAAAGAUUACACAAAGUCCUCAAGAGAGAGUAACAGUGUUCAGAGCCCAGCUUACAGCAAUUCCAGUGAAAUGAGACCUUUUCUGCCCCUUAUCUCUUCCCAUUGAGCUCUCUCCAACCUCAGAGAGGUAGGGGCAGCCUGGCUGGGGUGGGGUGGGGGUGGGAUUGAAGGCAGCAUCACCACUCAGGAAAUGCAAGAAUCUUACAUAUACAUUUCCCCCUGCAGCCUCUGUCUGUGGCAAAUCUUAGUGAAUGAAGUGCAGGGAUUUGACCACUGCACUUAACUGGACAUAGAAAUCACUGAACUGAACCACAGAGACCAAAGAUGUUUUUCAUACCUACAAAUAAGCACAUGAGUCAAAGAACCUAUCUGACAUUCAUUCAGAGUCAGCCU
rnacentral:lncRNA from 1 species